rfam:complete chromosome Acholeplasma brassicae.
UUGAACGCAAUGAACAAGAUGAGUAACAGAAGGAUUUGAAUGUAGAGAUUAUGCGGUUGGUGAAAGCAUAACAAACACUCUGUGAAGCUACUUGGGAGCGGUGGUUUGUUGGCCUUAACAACACAAAUAAAGGGCUAGUGAAAACUAGAACUAAGGUGGUACCGCGGAAUGAUUCGUCCUUAGA